rnacentral:rRNA from 1 species
UCGGGAAUUUUGGGCAAUGGGGGAAACCCUGACCCGGCAACGCCGCGUGAAGGAUGAAGUAUUUCGGUAUGUAAACUUCGAAAGAAUAGGAAGAAUAAAUGACGGUACUAUUUAUAAGGUCCGGCUAACUACGUGCCAGCAGCCGCGGUAAUACGUAGGGACCAAGCGUUGUUCGGAUUUACUGGGCGUAAAGGGCGCGUAGGCGGCAUGACAAGUCACUUGUGAAAUCUCUGGGCUUAACCCAGAACGGCCAAGUGAUACUGUCGCGCUAGAGUGCAGAAGGGGCAAUCGGAAUUCUUGGUGUAGCGGUGAAAUGCGUAGAUAUCAAGAGGAACACCUGAGGUGAAGACGGGUUGCUGGGCUGACACUGACGCUGAGGCGCGAAAGCCAGGGGAGCAAACGGGAUUAGAUACCCGCGUAGUCCCUGAGCGGGCUGGCAAGGCGCAU